GGUGGGCGGGCAGGACGGUAAUGCGCGGGUCUUGAAAACCCGUGAGCGAAAGCUCUAACAGGUUCGACCCCUGUGCCCACCG
rnacentral:tRNA from 1 species